AAUAUAUUUUUCCGUACAGAAACUUCGUGCCGUUGUUAGACCACAUCUGAAAUACUAAUUCCAGUGUCUGUUCUGGAACAGGGGAAAGAGAGAGGAUGCAGAAAGAAGGUAAAUAAGGAUGAGACCUCCUCCACCUCAGCGGGUUCAGCAGAGCAGAAAAGUUCACAAUAGAAUGGCAAACCAGCAAGAGGCAGCACCAAGGGGGUGCAGCAAGGAAGAUAAUGAUGAACUCCUGAAAAUAAAAGGAAUAAUUGUUUUGGGUCAGACCAAGAAUGAAAUGUUGAAUUUUUUUUUGGUGAAUCAAAAGGCUGCAAAGAACUGAUGCUGAAACAAACAACAAAAUCAAAUCAUUUUCUUCAGUACUGACAAUGUAAAGAUUUUAUUGAAUGCUUUAAAAAAAAUUAAAAGGUAUUUUGAAGUA